ACAUUCGCAUUGACUGGGCCCCAUUUGUAAUCAUUUAAAGUAUUUAUCUGCAUUUUAUCUGAAUGUUGUGGAAACCAUACGAGCGAGCGACAGCAUCUGUUUGUGGGCGGGGCUUGCUGGAGCAGAGAUGGAGGGGAGAGGAGGAGCUGAGGUGAAAACUGGUUGGGAGGGGUAGUGUUUACAUUCAAGAGUUCUCCUAAAAACCUGCACCUCCUCAGAUCCUGACUACCCCACCUUUAAUUAAGAGCUCUGCUGUUUUUUUAGACACAUAAGAGAGCUCUCAGCAACAAUCAUUUCCAAAAUAAAAGUCUUCCUAAUAUUUGUAGGAAGACUUUUAUUUUGUUUGUACCCCCUCCAUCCUUGUUUUUUUUUCAUUGUGAGGAGCUGUUGUUUAGACCACCUACCUCUUCGCUCACUUUCCUCCAGGCGACCCCUCCUUUAUUCCUGUCUCAAUAUUAAAAACAAGUUCUGUCAUAAAGCUUAGGUAGCCACGUGCCAUAGCAACCAGUUUGUCCUCUGUUUUCCAGAUGAGCCUCCGCCAGUCUGUUUUUGACAUAUGUCACCAGGGAACCUCCAGAUUGGUUAUAGCCGUGCAAAGAUCUACUUGAGUUCAGAUUUUCAACCUUCUCAAGUGUCUCACUCAAUUAGAGUCAAGAGCUCGAGUCUAAUAGACAGAUUACGCUGACUUUACAUGUAAUUCACUGAUGAAAAGUCACGUUGGUGCAAGAAUCUCAGAGGGAGAGAAACACAGAAAAAAAUGACGCCCAUCAGAAACUAAAACCAACCUUCAACAUGAUGAAUCCAGCCCAUGUUUAAUUCCAUUAUUUUCCCCCUGGAUAUGUUUAAUGUUAACAUGCUUCUCAUCCAAAUCAUGCACCAACACAAUUUGGAUGAAAGUAGCAACAGUGUGGUUUUCUGCUGCAGUCCUCUCAGUCUGAAAAUAACCAACAAAGAGGUCCAUUCAUUAAUUAUGUAUGCUGGCAUGUGGGGUCCUUUUGCAAAUGAGAUGCAGGCCUUUACUGUUUGCAUCCAUGAAAAGCUUUCACACGGCCUGUUUGAGUCAGAUGAAGACUAAUGAAGUACGAGUAAACUUGUGAACAUAUGCCUGCUGCUCUAGUGUGUGUGGGUAGUGCAUUAAUCUUGAGACUCUGGCGUAGUCAGGCUGAAAACUGCGCUGUUGUUUUGGGUAUUUGUUUUCUGCGGUUGUUUAAAAAAACUCCCACAUGAGUUUUUGAUUGAAAACAUCAGCUCCAUGUCAGGGGGAUAGUGUCUGAUUGAAGUGUGGGAAGCAAUCUGGAAAAAAAAAAAAACGCCACAUAAUAAACCUGUUGCUUGGUGUGUCUUUUCAAAGACGUCUUUGACCUGUACUUGGAUAAAAAGACAGAUUUAAUAGGUCUAUUUGUUUAAUAGGCAUUGUUCACUGAAAGCUGUUGUAUAACUCUUUGGCAACUGGUCAAAUGAAACUUUUUCUAAUUUAAUGCCAAGAGUGGUAGUCAGACUUAUGGCAUGUACACAUCACUGCAAACAUAUUCACCGACCCACACAGUAUCAAACUUAUUGAAGAUAUUGAUUUUUUUGAGAAAUAAUUUCCCAAGACAUUUCCAGCAUCAACAAGGGUGAGCGUGGGAUCGCCUUCAUUUUGUAUUUAAAGCGAAGAGGUCCUCCACUCACGGCCUUUUCAAGCAGCACUCAUCUUUUGUAUGCAGGUAACACUUACACUCGCCCUUGUGCCUGGUCUUGCUUGCGGGUGUAGCAAGUCAAGAGGAUAAAAAAGUGAGUCAAAGACGGUAAUCACAGUCUCGCCUGGAGGAGAAUAGCUGCUGUUUUCUCUCCCAGUGGUCAGUUCGGGUCAAAUGGCAACAACAUUUAAUGUACAAUAAGGAUAUACACUUACAUAGCAUAUAAAGAGGUGCUGAACUAAGAGCUUGUAAGAAUCCUUGUACACAGUCUCCUCUUUAGUUCAGGUAUUCGUCUUUUAUCCCCCUUUCAGAUAAAAUCCCCCAGUAGGAUAAAGAUGUGGCGGUGAAUGUGAUGGAUUUAAUUAGUCACCUUAUCUCAUUAAAACAAAGGAUUUUAAAGUGUUUCAAACAUGAGACGAAGAAAAUAAUUGUAUUCUGUCCUACGUUUACAAGUCUCCCGUUUAUUCAUUAAACACAGCCGUAGGCAGCAGAAGUGUGUUUUUCAUUUAUUUACUUAUUUUUUACACCAAGUGCUGCUUCACGUGGGUUUGUCCGUGAAUAUACUGUAGCUCUUGUACAGCUCUUAUAAUUUUGUGGGUUACAAAUUUGUAGAAUCAGAGAUGCCAGAUUCACUUAAGGAAAGUUCUGUCUCUAAUUUGACAAGCUGGUUUGAGAAGUUGUAGUUUUAAAUCUGGAUAGGCCUGGGUGAUUGUAUGAUCGUGAUAUAUUUCAGUUCAAUCACGGUGAUCAGCUGUGAGCAUAUUUACUUGAUCAAACAGAGCGGAAAUGUGCGGGAAAAUAGCCAAUCAGAGUCGAGCUUUUCCUGCUCACUUCUCUAAGUUGCCAGAGAAGAAAACAGGGGAAUAAACAGAAUGACUGAACAUGGCUCUAAUCGUGGAGCUGAGGGCAGCAAAAUAGAUGUCAGCCAAUAAUUUGAGUCAUCCUCUGAGGAGAAGAAAAGUUAUUCAACGACGGUUGAGUGGCGGUGGUUUGGGUAUCUCCAAAGUGACAUUGAGCAGUGAAGCCAAUGUGCAAGGUAUGUUGGUGGUCAGUGCCCUCAAAAACUGGCAACACAACAGAUCUGUUUAAUCAUCAGAAGAAGUAAUUAUGCAGAAAGCAUGAAAAUACGAGCGAAGUCUGCACAGCCUGCAACUGCUGAAGGCACAAGUAGCAGUAGCAGUUUAGCCACAACUAGGACUGCCAACUAGUUCACUAUAUAUUUUAGUAUUUAACCACAUUUGUUGUACCGUUGAGUUAAAAUGUUUUUUAUAUUUUUCUAAGUUUAUCUUAUUCAGUUUUCUUCGUUAUUUACUUUGUGUGGUAAUAAUAUGUUGAACUAAUCUCUGAUUUCUUUAGUUUUUAGUACAGAUGCUUUAAAACUUGCAGUUAAAAAAAAUAAAAAAGGUGAUAAUAAUUGAGGAUUAUAUGACAAAAUAAAUCGUGAUCUUUUUUUUUAUGUCGCCCAGUCCUAAGUCCAGAUGAAAAAAAAAAUAAAGUGCAUAUCCAGCCCAGAUUCUGCUCUCUGCCAUCAGUAACAGUCUCACAACGUGUUUAAACUCAUUACUGGAAUCUUGAGCUUUUGAAAAGUAGUUCUGUUAUUGUCUUCAGGUGUCAGGUAAUCCAGUCAAAAGUCCUUCACACAAUAUAAGGUUUGGCUAUCUGAUCGGUGCUUCUUGUCAGAGACAAAAUAUGGCUUACCUGGAGAUAUCGAACAAAAUCAAGUACAAGGAAACAUAAUGCUUCUCUUAUGUAUGUACUUAAGAAGAGAAAAACAAUUUACUGUUGUCGUUAUGCUUUCUGUUAACAGUUAAGAAGGCACCAUUGGCAAAGGCAGAUGAAAACUUUGAAUGUUGAAGUCCUUUCUUUGAUCGCAGUUUAAACGUCUCUAAGCGGAUUAAACUGUCAUAUUAGAUAGAUUUGCCUCUAAGGGGAUAAAAUUUAAAUCCUCCAAGUCUCAGCAGUGAAAUCUGUAACCUUUUGCAUCCUUCCACACAUGGCAGCACUGCUAAAAAAUUGCAAACCCUCAGCUUUAGGUUUGUCAAGGCUUGUCAUGUAUUAUUCAACAUGUCAGAAAUCACUGGUGACAACAGAGUGAAGGAUGUGAAGUCCUGCCAGAAAAGCAGUUGUUUUUAUUAACUCGUGUGUGCUCGAAGGUGUUUAUUUUGUUCAAACCUAACUCACCACAAUAUGCAGGGUCAGCUCAACCACUUUGAUGCUGGAGGCAACAAUGAUUGGCAUUCCUCACCCACUCAGCACUCACAUCCACUGAUACUGCCUAACAACACAAAAAUGAGUUUAAAAACUUUCUCAAGGUUAUCACAAAUUCCAACCCUAUUAAAAAAAAACAUGUCCUCAUAAAUUGACACCCCCCUUGAGUCUUUUUCAAUCUGAUGCCAGCCACAUGUUUGAACAAAGUUUGGAUAUGAUCAUGUUUAUCACCCUGUUUCAUCAUCUCCUCAACAACAACAACUCGGGAAGUAACUGAAGAGACCAGUGCUGUCAGAGAGGUUUACCCAUUCCUGCUUGAUGGGGGGUUUCAGCAGCUCUACAGUUCAGGAUCUUUUUCGUCAUAUUUCACGUUUUAUAAUGUGCCAAACUUUAAAUGGGUGACAAAUAGUAAGUGAAGGCAGUCAGAUAUGACUCUUGGAGUCCCACUGAGGAACCAUUCUGCUGCAACACUUGCAGAAUGUGAUCGGACUGAAACAAGCAAGUCUAUCACAGGAAAGCUGUUUCUUGGUCCUAAGUUGGUACAUUAUAUUUCAGCAUUUAAAGUGCCGUUAUAGGUGUUGAAGUUACCCAUGUCAUGUGCACUAAUGAAGCCUUUUGAAAUGCACAGU
rnacentral:lncRNA from 1 species